rnacentral:rRNA from 1 species
UACGAACCGUCCAAGCGUUAUUCGGAAUCACUGGGCUUAAAGGGCACGUAGGCGGCGCUGUUAGUCGGGUGUGAAAUCCCUCGGCUCAACCGAGGAAUUGCGUCCGAUACUGCAGUGCUUGAGGGAGACAGAGGUAAGCGGAACUGAUGGUGGAGCGGUGAAAUGCGUUGAUAUCAGCAGGAACACCGGUGGCGAAAGCGGCUUACUGGGUCUCUUCUGACGCUGAGGUACGAAAGCGAGGGGAGCGAAGGGG